GCGUUCACGCAGGGGUACUCCCGCGCCGCGCCCGCGGCGCGCAAGGGGGUUGAGAGAGUCCCUUCGUACCAGUACGGAUAAUGCCGAUGCUGGGAGCGAUAGUCCGGUUGCG
rnacentral:ncRNA from 1 species